UACGUAGGGUGCAAGCGUUAAUCGGAAUUACUGGGCGUAAAGCGUGCGCAGGCGGUUUUGUAAGUUUGUCGUGAAAGCCCCGGGCUCAACCUGGGAACCGCGCUUGAGACUGGCAUGCUCGAGUUCGGGAGAGGAUGGUGGAAUUCCCAGUGUAGAGGUGAAAUUCGUAGAUAUUGGGAAGAACACCGAUGGCGAAGGCAGCCAUCUGGACCGACACUGACGCUGAGGCGCGAAAGCGUGGGGAGCAAACAGG
rnacentral:rRNA from 1 species